GUGAGGCGGUUGGCGGCGUCGGAACGGACCGCUGCGCGAUGCCUUCAGUCGCUUCAGACAAUUGACCACGGAUGUACUUGCACUGGUGUGAAAAGCGAUGACGAGGAAGGUCCGUGCGAUUUCGCCCGGCCUUGUUUAUU
rnacentral:sRNA from 1 species